UCCUACGGGGCGCAGCAGUGAGGAAUAUUGGUCAAUGGCCGAGAGGCUGAACCAGCCAAGUCGCGUGAGGGAAGAAUGUCCUAUGGAUUGUAAACCUCUUUUGUCAGGGAGCAAAGUCACCCACGUGUGGGUGUUGGAGAGUACCUGAAGAAAAAGCAUCGGCUAACUCCGUGCCAGCAGCCGCGGUAAUACGGAGGAUGCGAGCGUUAUCCGGAUUUAUUGGGUUUAAAGGGUGCGUAGGCGGGUUAUCAAGUCAGCGGUAAAAUCGUGGUGCUCAACGCCGUACAGCCGUUGAAACUGGCAGU
rnacentral:rRNA from 1 species